CGGACGGGUGAGUAACGCGUGGGUAACCUGCCCCAUACAGGGGAUAACAGUUAGAAAUGACUGCUAAUACCGCAUAAGCGCACUGCAUCGCAUGAUGAAGUGUGAAAACUGAGGUGGUAUGGGAUGGGCCCGCGUCUGAUUAGCCAGUUGGCGGGUAACGGCCCACCAAAGCGACGAUCAGUAGCCGACCUGAGAGGGUGACCGGCCACAUUGGGACUGAGACACGGCCCAAACUCCUACGGGAGGCAGCAG
rnacentral:rRNA from 1 species